UAAGGAAUAUUGGACAAUGGUCGCAAGACUGAUCCAGCCAUGCCGCGUGCAGGAAGACGGCCCUAUGGGUUGUAAACUGCUUUUGUACCAGAGAAAACCUAUCUACGUGUAGAUAGCUGAUAGUAUGGUAAGAAUAAGCAUCGGCUAACUUCGUGCCAGCAGCCGCGGUAAGACGAAGGAUGCAAGCGUUAUCCGGAUUCAUUGGGUUUAAAGGGUGCGUAGGCGGGCUUGUAAGUCAGUGGUGAAAUCUCUCAGCUUAACUGAGAAACUGCCAUUUNUACUGCAGGCCUAGAGUAUAGAUGACGUUGGCGGAAUAUGACAUGUAGUGGUGAAAUACUUAGAUAUGUCAUAGAACACCGAUUGCGAAGGCAGCUAACGAAACUAUAACUGACGCUGAGGCACGAAAGUGCGGGGAUCAAACA
rnacentral:rRNA from 1 species